rnacentral:tRNA from 1 species
GGCGUGGUGGCCAAGCGGUAAGGCGUUGGUCUCGUAAACCAAAGAUCAUGGGUUCAACCCCCAUCCACGCCU